rnacentral:rRNA from 1 species
UACGGAGGGUGCAAGCGUUAUCCGGAUUCACUGGGUUUAAAGGGUGCGUAGGAGGGCAGGUAAGUCAGUGGUGAAAUCCUCAAGCUUAACUUGAGAACUGCCGUUGAUACUAUCUGUCUUGAAUACCGUGGAGAUGAGCGGAAUAUGUCAUGUAGCGGUGAAAUGCUUAGAUAUGACAUAGAACACCAAUUGCGAAGGCAGCUCGUUACGCGAAUAUUGACUCUGAGGCACGAAAGCGUGGGGAUCAAACAGGAUUAGAAACCCGGUAGUCC